ACGCUCGACACCUACGGGAGGCAGCAGUCGGGAAUAUUGCGCAAUGGAGGGAACUCUGACGCAGUGACGCCGCGUAUAGGAAGAAGGUUUUCGGAUUGUAAACUAUUGUCGUUAGGGAAGAGAAAGGACAGUACCUAAGGAGGAAGCUCCGGCUAACUACGUGCCAGGAGCCGCGGUAAUCUGAGCGGGCUGGCAAGGC
rnacentral:rRNA from 1 species